rnacentral:lncRNA from 1 species
GUGUGUAAGGGUCUGGAUGUAUUUAAGAUUGAAUAUACCCUAACAGUUUUCCGAAAUCUUCUGAAAAGCUUUAGAUGUCAAAUCAGAAACACGUGAAGCCUCUGUAGUCUGUGAACUUGGCAGAAGCAAAAUGACUGGUCUCCUAUGACAUGGGGCUGAUGGAUUUUGCUGGCAGCCAGUGACUGUGCAUUGCCAUGAGGAACCUUGGUGAUGGACAAUGGAGUCAUUCUGCUCGGUGGAACAGACCCCCACCUCGGCACAAAGACCAUUUAAAUUCUCAACAUGAUGCUACAGGCAGAUACAGAAGAUAAGAGAGAAGGGACACUUCUUCACAGAGUACCCCAAGGCUGAAGAUGCAAAAGGAUGGACUUAAGUCUUCAUAUUCAUCAUGGAAAACCAACAAGACAUUUGUGUACCAUUGUAGAUAUGAACAUAAUUGGUGAUGCUACAUCAGUGAACUAUUUUAACUGCAAAGGAAUUAUUAAAAGA